rnacentral:rRNA from 1 species
AUUGAACGCUGGCGGCAGGCCUAACACAUGCAAGUCGAACGAGUGGCGGACGGGUGAGUAAUGUCUGGGAAACUGCCCGAUGGAGGGGGAUACCUACUGGAAACGGUAGAUAAUACCGCAUACCAUCGGAUGUGCCCAGAUGGGAUUAGCUAGUAGUUGGGGUAACGUCUCACCGAGGCGACGAUCCCUAGCUGGUCUGAGAGGAUGACCAGCAAAACUGGAACGGAGACACGGUCCAGACGCCUACGGGAGGCAGCAGUGGGGAAUAUUGCACAAGGGGCGCAAGCCUGAUGCAGCCAUGCCGCGUGUAUGAAGAAGGCCUUCGGGUUGUAAAGUACUUUCAGCGAGGAGGCGUUACUCGCAGAAGAAGCACCGGCGAACUCCGUGCCAGCAGCCGCGGUAAUUC